AGUGGCGGACGGGUGAGUAAUAUAUCGGAACGUGCCCAGUAGCGGGGGAUAACUACUCGAAAGAGUGGCUAAUACCGCAUACGCCCUACGGGGGAAAGGGGGGGAUCGCAAGACCUCUCACUAUUGGAGCGGCCGAUAUCGGAUUAGCUAGUUGGUGGGGUAAAGGCUCACCAAGGCAACGAUCCGUAGCUGGUUUGAGAGGACGACCAGCCACACUGGGACUGAGACACGGCCCAGACUCCUACGGGAGGCAGCAGUGGGGAAUUUUGGACAAUGGGGGAAACCCUGAUCCAGCCAUCCCGCGUGUAUGAUGAAGGCCUUCGGGUUGUAAAGUACUUUUGGCAGAGAAGAAAAGGUAUCCCCUAAUACGGGAUACUGCUGACGGUAUCUGCAGAAUAAGCACCGGCUAACUACGUGCCAGCAGCCGCGGUAAUACGUAGGGUGCAAGCGUUAAUCGGAAUUACUGGGCGUAAAGCGUGUGUAGGCGGUUCGGACAAGAAAGAUGUGAAAUCCCAGGGCUCAACCUUGGAACUGCAUUUUUAACUGCCGAGCUAAGUAUGUCAAGGGGGGUAGAAUUCCGCGUGUAGCAGUGAAAUGGCGUAGAUAUGUGGAGGAAUACCGAUGGCGAAGGCAGCCCCCUGGGAUAAUACUGACGCUCAGACACGAAAUGCGUGGGGAUGCAAACAGGAUUAGAUACCCUGUAGUCCACGCCCGUGACGACCCCCAAGUAGCUGUUGGGCCAUAGGCCUUAGUUAGCG
rnacentral:rRNA from 1 species